rnacentral:sRNA from 2 species
AACCAUCCCUCCUUACAUUGGAAUAUCCGAUGUAAAAAGCACAUUUCAAUAUUGCGAAGUAACUAAAUACACGUCGACAAUACUCUUCGACUCUUUUCUUUCCCCCCUCCUCUUUCCCCAAACUCUGUCUAUGCCAUUUAUACCACCCUCUUCUUUCUUUUGCCCAAAUGAAAACUAGCCCCAAACACCGUAUAAACUCCCAAACACCCAUGGGUAUAUCGUCAUGAACACAAACCAAAACUCCCUUUAAAGUUACAUUACAAAAAGGAUGGAAAAACCAGUCUGAGCCUAGGUUAGUGCAACUCUCCCAGCCAUCUCCACUUCCCCUUGUCCUUCCCCUUUACCAUCCCUCUCGUCAACAACAACCGUCUCCACUCCACCACCAAACAAUGCCGGGCAAAGGCUCCCCAACACACAGGCGAGAAGGUGCUUGCACACGGGUGUUUCGUGGUGGCUAUUCUUCAUCGAGUCUCUGGUUAAUGUGCCGCCAAAUGGGAAAGGGGUUGUAGGUGUAGAUGUAGAUGUAGAUGCAGGUGCAGAUGAAGAAUUAUUUCCCCUGUGCA